rnacentral:rRNA from 1 species
GACGAACGCUGGCGGCGUGCCUAAUACAUGCAAGUUGAGCGCUGAAGGUUGGUACUUGUACCGACUGGAUGAGCAGCGAACGGGUGAGUAACGCGUGGGGAAUCUGCCUUUGAGCGGGGGACAACAUUUGGAAACGAAUGCUAAUACCGCAUAAAAACUUUAAACACAAGUUUUAAGUUUGAAAGAUGCAAUUGCAUCACUCAAAGAUGAUCCCGCGUUGUAUUAGCUAGUUGGUGAGGUAAAGGCUCACCAAGGCGAUGAUACAUAGCCGACCUGAGAGGGUGAUCGGCCACAUUGGGACUGAGACACGGCCCAAACUCCUACGGGAGGCAGCAGUAGGGAAUCUUCGGCAAUGGACGAAAGUCUGACCGAGCAACGCCGCGGGAGUGAAGAAGGUUUUCGGAUCGUAAAACUCUGUUGGUAGAGAAGAACGUUGGUGAGAGUGGAAAGCUCAUCAAGUGACGGUAACUACCCAGAAAGGGACGGCUAACUACGUG